UCUUUGCACCGUCCCUAAAACUCUUGUUAAAGGACCUUCAAAGUCCUUUCCGGGUCUAAGAUGUAUUAUGUGUGGCAGUGGUUUUAAUUAGAAGCUAGCCUAGAAAUUACCACAGGCUGGUAGAGUGAGCCUGCUCAUUCCUGAUGUAACCAGCUUUGAACCCACAGUAUAUGGCUCUCAGGUACCCUCUGAGGACCCUCUGAGGUGCCGGUUCCCCACCCCCACUCUGGCCCCAUGGUGGAGGUUUCUCUAACUCCUUCCCACCAGCCCCUUCCCUGAUUUAUGCUGCUGCUCAGAGCUACAAAGACGGACUAGAACCUUCCCUGCCCUCUCCCUCUUUCAACUGACUUAUUCUCAACUGGCUCUAACCCAAGCACUUUGUUCUCCACAGCGUCCUAUAUGUAAAAAUACUCCAGGCCCCACCUCCCCUGCUUGGAACAAGGCAUCAGCUUCCAAACUGCUGGCCAGGUCUUUCCCGGUGGGCAGGAAGAAGGCUGCUCUGUGAAGACUGGAGUCUAAGGAUGGUUUAUCCUGACUAAAUCCUUUAUGCCACCUGAGAGAAACCCGGUCGGAAAGAGUACAUGUGGGCUGACAGGGCCACAUGCAGGAAGUGGUCCAUGAGGGCCCAGCCUGGAGACAGCACCAUUCGAGGGGACGCACGCACGCACGCACGCACGCCCCCAGGAGGACCGUUUCCCUUCGUUAUAUGGGCUCUUGAGUCACCUAGCAGAUAAACUCUGCACCUGCCUCUGAAGGAUUAUCUGGAUCAGGUACACUGAAGUGGGAGGGCCCAUCGUAACGUGGGUGCCGUCAACCCCAG